rnacentral:rRNA from 1 species
CGAGAAGGGGAGCAUCCCUGAGUAAAUGUGGCGCACGGGUGAGUAACACGUGGGUAAUCUACCUCUGGGUGGGGAAUAACUCUGGGAAACCGGAGCUAAUACCGCAUAAGCCGCGCUUUUCGAUAGGAGAAGCGCGGGAAAGGCGAAAGUCGCCGGGAGAGGAGCCCGCGGUCGAUUAGCUGGAUGGUGAGGUAAGAGCUCACCAUGGCGUAGAUCGAUAGCCGGCCUGAGAGGGCACACGGCCACACGUGGCACUGAAACACGGGCCAGACUCCUACGGGAGGCAGCAGUGGGGAAUCUUGCACAAUGGGGGAAACCCUGAUGCAGCGACGCCGCGUGAGUGAUGAAGCCCUUCGGGGUGUAAAGAUCUUUCGACCGGGAAGAUGAUGACGGUACCGGACAGAAGAAGCUGCGGCU